CAAACAGCAUUUAUUAUUAAUUUGCUUCCAUGAGAAAACACCUUUACAUCAGAUCCCUGUGGACAAUCUGCUACCAGGUACAUCUUCUCCUUCUGUUUCUGCUUCUGGGGACAUUAGACUUUCUAUGGACUCUCCUAAGCCGAUGUCCUACAAAGCUUGUCUUUCUAUCCUCUCCACUCUGAGUGUCAGGUGAAGAAAGCUCUGUCCUUGCCCAGAUGAGGCUCUGAGGGCUGAGCCCUGGCUGGUGAACAGCUCCAGGAGACACAGUCCUCUGACAGCUGGUAAAUUCUUGGUCCCAGUAAGGCCUGCCCAAGAAGGAACAACCCAGCACUGGCACAGGCUCCUCAGCUUUAUCUGGAGCAAGGAUUUAGGGACAGAGGUCUGGGGUUGAGGCUUCUAGGGCUGAGCUGCUCUGAGAGUAUCUCAGGGGGCCCCUCAGGCCAGCCCUACUCAGUUCUCCAGGGUCUUUGUCAGCGUCAAAUUUAUGAAGAGGGCAUGAGGUGCUUGUCUGAGACUGAUCUCCUCCUGCUGAGUCCCCCCAUCAGACUGUCCUUCCUCUGCAGCGAGUGUCUGCAGGGUCUGAAUGCGGGAAAGGAAUUCUGAUCUGUUGAAAUUUGUCUCCUCUGUGUGUCCUGCACUAAAUGCCCAAACCCCAGCAUGGGACUUAAUGCAGAGAGGGACACAGGCAGAGUCCAGGCCUGAGAAUCCUGUGUGUGUGAAGUAGAAGUGACCCCUGUCCCCCAACACCCAGGGAUCAUGUGGAAUCACUCACGGUGUAAGGUGAAGGUGAAAUGUCCAGUUACUCCUCCAGUCCCAUCGCGUCGCUUUAUGAUGUGUAAGGUGUAGGAUCCUGCAUCCUCCUGCGUGACAUUCUGGAUCAGCAGGGAUGCAUUGGAAUAUACUCUUUCUCUUCCACUGUAUGCAGGCCCAUAUAUAAUUCUUUGACCGUCUACUACAUAUGAUGUAAUGUAAUGGUAGAGGUAUGUCAUUUGCCCUUUGUACCAAAUGUAGCCAGCAAGAUUCUGGGGCAAAUUGUGGACAAGUAGAAGAACAUCCUUCCCCUCAGAAACUUUGGGUGGCUGGGCUUCAAUCGUGACUUGGGCAGUUGUGGGCGGAUUCCAGAAGUUUAAAAGUGAUGCUAGGAGGACCCCCUUCCAGGUGAUGCGCUGUGUGCAGGGAGGGGCUGAGAGGGGCCCCAUGGUCUCUGCUGCUUGUGUGUUCUCCUCUGUGGAGAUAAGCCUAGGAUCCAGAAGCUUCCUGAGUACGGCUGUCAGCUGUGCUGUC
rnacentral:lncRNA from 1 species